CCACCCUUGGUGGCACCUGGGGUGCUCUUAUUGUGGCCCAAGCCACAGCCCACUUUGUCAGAGAUUACCACACCCUCCCCCACCACCACCGCCAGGAGGCAUGGGCAGCAUGUCCCUGUACUGGAGGUGCAGGUACCGCCAGUUGAACACUGCAUGUGUACCCUAGUCCCCAACUGCUCCGGGCCCCAAGACCAGCCCUCUACUUGCCAGCCAGAGGCUGCUCAGCCCUCCACUGUCCUCGCCCCCCACGUCCACUGGACUCCAGCCCACUUGUGCAGCUAUUAUGACGCCUCUGGAGAGGAGCGCAGCGGGGAUGAGGGGGUGUUGCACCAGCUCGACAGGAGGGAUCCCUGCCACUGCCGUAGCUGCUGACCCUCAAACCCAAUGUCUACAACCUUUCCCAGAUGAUUGGGCAACCUCACUGGGUCAGCUGGUGGACCAGCGGGAUUUAGCUCUGCAGCCCCAGUGCCAGGGCUUCACAGUCGCCCCAGGACCCAGGCACACACCAAGUUCACAGUUCAAGGGCCUAUCCCGCCUGCAUGGGGGGCGGGGUGCGCACACAGCCAUUGCAUGUGCGUGCAUCCCUUUGUGAUGCAACCCUUUGUUGACGGUUUUCUGCACGUGCCCGCAUUAUCUACUCAAACCUUUAAAAGCUGGGUCCUGGCCACGGGUCUGACAUUGCCCUUUCGCCUCAAGCCGCGCUGGCAGCAGAAGAAGGACCCUUUGUGCUCAGCUCUGGAAUCCCUGAAUCCCGUCGUCUUCCCUAACCCUUACUGCUGCCAUGGGUACUUCUCAGGGAGUCUUAUUAAGGAAUUUGGGGCCUGCCCCCACGAGAUGAAGAUGAGGACCAACUUUAUCUUCUAUUAGACGCAGAGUCUCUGGUCUGAUUCCUCAGUCUGCCGUCUUGAAAGGAGUCUUAUUAAGGAAUUUGGGGCCUGCCCCCACGAGAUGAAGAUGAGGACCAACUUUAUCUUCUAUUAGACGCAGAGUCUCUGGUCUGAUUCCUCAGUCUGCCGUCUUGAAAGGAGUCUUAUUAAGGAAUUUGGGGCCUGCCCCCACGAGAUGAAGAUGAGGACCAACUUUAUCUUCUAUUAGACGCAGAGUCUCUGGUCUGAUUCCUCAGUCUGCCGUCUUGAAAGCCUGACCGUGCAGAACCCCUGAAGCUCUCCUGGGAGGAACCAUCACCACCCUCAGAAAGGCCACCUUGACUUGGAGAAGAUGACCAAGGCUCAUCAGUGGAUGUGUCCUGUCUUGUGGAAACCCUCACAUACUUCUCUGGGAGCUCGAGGAUGGCCUGGUGCCUGCCCUGCAGCAGGGUAACACCCCCUAUGUCCAUGGGGUUUUGUAUUUGUACCAGGAUUUGGCCAGUACCCAGAAGGCUCUGGAGCUGCUGGGUAAAAGGUAUGGACGCCUCCAGCCAUAUGUUGAGGAGGAGUACCUUCAAGACAAGAAAUCAUGACUCACCUUCUUCUCAUUCCCUAAGAAACAAUAUUGAAGUUAGACCAGUUAAUUACUCUGUAAUGGACUGAACAGUUGGAAUAAAAGGAAGAGUUCCAUGUUUUGCAUUCCAAAUAGAAAGCUGUGCCUUGGGCUGGGCUGUAGCUCAGUGGCAGAGUGCUUGCCUAGAAUGUAUGAGGCACUGAGUUCAAUCCUUAGCACUACAAAAAAAAAACAAAAAACCCAAAAAACAACUAAACAAAGAAAGGCAUGCUGUUGAUCUAAAACUAUUUAAAAGAGAAAGAAAGAAACAAAGAAAAGAAAAAAAAAAAGCUGUGCCUCUUGAAUAGUUAGUCCCAAUGAGAAUGCAAGGGAAAUGUUCAUAAAGAAAAUUAAAGUGCUGCUCCAGGGCAUAUGUGAAUGAUAAGAAAGCAAAACAGCUGAUAGGGAUAAAGUUUUCAUAGUCUGGAGAACAGAUGAAACAAGCCACGUUCCCUUAAGCCAAAACCGCAUCCAGAUAAGGCCAAAACAUUAGAUUUUUCUGAUGCCAAGAGAAGGGAGAAAGCUCCAGAAGAAGUCUGAAGGUGGCAGAAUUUGGUUCAUGAUGUUCGAGGCAAGCGGCCCAUCUCCAUAUAAGACAAGUGCAGGGUGAAGCAGCAAGUGCUGAUGUAGAAGCUACAGCAAGUCAUGAAGAAGAUCUUGCUAAGCUAUCUGAUGAAGACGCGAUAUGGUUGAGUUUCUCGGUGUCCCCCAAAAGCUCAUGGGUGAGACAAUGCAAGAAGGUUUAGAGGGGAAAUGAUCCUGUUAUGAGAGCCUAAAGCCAAUUAGUGAAUUAAUCCCCUGGCAGGAUGAACAGGUGGCACAGAUAAAAUGGGGUGCCCACACCCUCCCCAAGCCUGGAGGUGUAGGCGCCACCUAUGGAGGAGUCCAGUUGCAGGGUGGAAGCGAACAGCAGUCAUCCUCAACGUUCCACAUUAGGGUUCCACAUUGGAGGUUCCCAGCAACCAGCGGCAUCCCUCUGCGGGCAGGGCGUUCAUCAGCGAGCCUAGGCGCCCUAAGGCCCUUUGGGGAGUCCAGUUGAAUCGGUGGCUGCAUGGAAAUAGGUGUCCAAAUAGGAGCAUCCUCAUCCAUUGGCGGUGGCGGGAGUCUGCUUCCAGUGCAGUGGAGGUGUUGGCAGCAUUGCUGGUGGCCAGGUCGGGACUCCAGUGGCCACAGUGUGGAGCGCUGGCUGUGGCGACAGCGACAGCGUAGGGCAGCGGGCCUCAGAGUCAGAGGGCGACCAGAGGAUGGGGUGCCCUGUGCUGUGGCUGCCCCAGGCCACUUGUCUUGCUCCUGGCAGGGCCUGCCUGCUCAGGAAGCAGGACACGGCAGGCGGCGGUACCCACACAGCCUCUGAGGACCUUAUGCUGCGCACGCAGGUGGCGCCUGGCACCGGCCCUGAGCCCCCCGGGUGGCAGCUCGCCCCACCCCGGGUUCGCCCUGCCCCUCCCUGGGUUGCGGCCUCUGCGGGGGGAGUAGGCCCCCUGGCAGCCGGGGCAGCCUUUGGAGAGGACACCCACCCUCCCCAGCGACAUCUCUCCUGGGCUGUGGCCACUGAGAGCAGAGGCAGUGGGGGGUGGGGCUACAAAUCCUCCCCCUCAAAGCGCAUCCCUGGGGCGGGACAAGAGUGGAGGGCAUAGAUGGCAGAGGGAACCCCAAGACGUGCCGUCCUUGGUCUUGGUCUUCUGCCACCCUUAGACAAAGAAAUGUACUUUAAAAAAAUUAAUUAGCUCUAAUUAGUUGUACAUAACAGCAGAAUUCACUUUGGUUCAUUGUACAGAAAUGGAGCACAGCUUUUCAUUUCUCUGGUAGAACACGAUGUAGAGUUGCACCAUAUGUGCAGUCCUGCAUGUACCUAGGGUAAUGAUAUCCCUCUCAUUCCACCCUCUUUCCUACCCCAUGCCCGUCCCUCCUAUCCUUCCCCUUUGCCCCAAGUUCCUCCAUUCUUCCCUUGCCCCCCUCAUUAUGGAUCAGCAUCCACUUAUCAGGGAGAACAUUCAGCCUGUUGUUUUUGAGGAUUAGCUUUUUUCACUUACAUAAUAUUCUCCAACUCCAUCCUCUUACCUGCAAGUGUCAUAAUUUUAUUCUCUUUUAAAGCUAAGAUUCCAUUGUGCACAUAUACCACAUUUUCUUUAUCGAUUUAGCUCUUGAAGGACUUCUAGGUUGGUUCCACAGUUUACCUACUGUGACUUGAGCUGCUAUAAACAUUGAUGUGGCUGCAUCACUCUAGUAUGCUGAUUUUAAGUCUUUUGGGUAUAGAUUGAGGAGUGGAAUUUCUGGGUCAAAUGGAGGUUCCAUUCCAUGUUUUUUGAGGAAGCUCCAUACUGCUUUCCAGAGUGGUUGCACCAAUUUGCAGUGCCACUAGCAAUGUAUGAGUAUACCUUUCCCCCCCACAUCCUCACCAACACUUAUUGUUGCUUGUAUUCUUGUUAACUGCCAUUCUGGCUGGAGUAAGAUGGUCUUAGAGUAGUUUUGAUUUGCAUUUCUCUAAUUUCUGGUGAAGUUGAACAUAUUUUCAUAUAUUUGUUGAUCGACUGUGUAUCUUCUUCUGUGAAGUGUCUGUCCAUUUCCUUAGCCCAUUUAUUGAUUGGGUUAUUUAUUCUUUGGGUGUUGAAGUUUUUGAGUUUUUUAUAUAUCCUGGAAAUUAGUGUUUUAUCUAAUGUGCGUGUAGUAAAGAUGUUCUCCCACUCUGUGAGCUCUCUCUUCAUAUUAUUGUUUCCUUUGCUGAGAAGAAGCUUUUAAGUUUGAAUCCAUCCCAUUAUUAAUUCUUGAUUUUAUUUCUUAAGUACAGGGUCUCUGGUCUAAUUCCUAGGUCCUUGAUCUACUUUGAGUGUUUGUGCAAGGUGAGAGAUCGUGGUUUAAUUUCAGUCUGCUACAUAUGGAUUUACAGUUUCCCCAGCACCAUUGUUGAAGAGGCUAUCAUUUAGCUAAUGUAUGUUUUCGGCACCUUUGGCAAGAAUGAGAUAACUACAUUUAUGUGGGUUUUUCUCUGUAUCUUCUAUUUUGGACCAUUGGUCUACAUGUGUAUUUUGGUGCCAAUAGCAUGCCGUUUUUGUUACUACAGAUCUGUAGUAUAGUUUAAGGUUUGAUAUUGUGAUGUCUCCUACUUCACUCUUCUUGCUAAGGAUUGCUUUGUCAAUAAGGAUUUCUCUGUGUCUAUUUUUCCAAAUGAAUUUCAUGAUUACUUUUUCUAUUUCUAUGAGGAAUGUUAUUGGGAUUUGAAUUGGAAUCACAUUAAAUCUGUAUAAGGUUUAUGAUAGUGUGGCCAUUUUGACAAUAUUAAUUCCAUGAGGGAGGAAUUGGAAUCAGGUACCUGCUCAAAAGGGGAGGGAUCCGAUAGCCAUGCCCACCUCAAAAUGGCAAGGAAUGCUUUCCAAGAUGUAGUCGGUGUGCUUCCAGAGCCGGGGUGUCUGGUGAUGUCAGGGGAACCGAUGGCCUUGUGCUGUGGGGAGGUAGCAGCUGAGUGACCUGCGUGGGAGUGGAGCGAGUCUCGGCGGUCUGCAGAUGUGUUGGUAGGUGGUUCUGCUAAGGCGCUGGCCAAGUCUUAAGUGAACUGCAACUUUGGCUUUGGGUCCUGCUCGGACACUGAGGCCCUGAGUCCUGUGCAAGGUCACAGCGCUGGUCAUUUCUGUAGAGAGAAGCUGUACAGGGGCCUCUAACACUCUCAAGAGAUGCAGAAUUCCUACUAGGAGAGAUCUGGAUCACAGAGCAACACAGAUGCUGCUUCCCUCUGGUCCACCAUCUUUGAAAGUCUUUUCAAUUUCUUUCUUUAGUUUUCAUUGUAUAGGUCUUUCAUCUCUUUUGUUAAAUUUAUACCCAAACAUUUCAUUUUUGAGGCUAUUGUGAAUGGGAUAGUUUUCCUAAUUUCUCUUUCAGAGGGUUCAUCACUAAUAGAUAGAAAUGCAUUUGAUUUAUGAAUAUUGAUUUCAUAUCCUGUGACAUUGCUGAAUUUGUUAAUAUUAGAAGUUUUCUGGUGGAGUUUUUUGGGAUCCUCUAUGUGUAGAAUCAUGUCAUCAGCAAAUAGGGAUAGUUUGAGUUCUUCUUCCCCUAUUCCUAUCCCUUUAAUUUCUUUCAUCUACAGCUCUGUCGUGUAGUCUAAGCUGUACUGGAGUUUAAACAGCAGUAUAGUUUAAACUCUGGCUAGAGUAUCAGGGACUAUGUAGAGUAGAAGGUGAGAGAGGGCAUCCUUGUCCUGUUCCAGUUCUGAGAGGAAAUGCUUCCAAUCAGAAAUGCAUUUUGAGGAUGAAGAGGUCCUAGUUCCUCUGCUCUCUCCCCCCACAGCCCAGGUGGGAUGUCUCUUAGGAAGGUGAGGGUCCUCUCCCAAGGCUGCCCCACCUGGCAGAUGGCCUAGUUCCCCCGCAGAGGCCACAUCGGGGAUGGGGCGAGCAGCCACCCGGCGGGCUCAUGGCCAGUGCCAGGCGAGGCAGGUGUGGGCAGCCUAAGGUCCUCAGCAGCUGCCUGGGUAUUGCCACCCCCCUCGUGCUGCUUCCUGAACAGGCCGCUCAGCCAGGACCAAGACCCAGGGCCUGGAACGGCCACUGCAGAGGCCACUCCAGCCUCUCGUCGCCCUUCCACUCUGAGGCUCACUGCCCUGCGCCCUCGCUGCCGCCACCAGCCUGGAGCUCUUCACUGUAGCCACGGGACUCCCCACAUGGUCGCCAGCUGCCACUGCAGCAGGAUUCCUGUUACCCCAGCAGGAUGAAGAUGCUCACCACUGGACGCCUCUGUGUCCUCAGCCCCGUUUCCAGACUCUACUGGUGCUGCCGCCACCGUGCAGCAACCAAACUCCCAAACCCCAGCUGGACUAUGAUGCUGCCCACCAAGGGCCCAACGUCAAUGCCCUUCACCCCCCGCCAUGAUGCCUGACUCCAGUGCCCCAUGCCGGCUCCCGGAUGAAGCUGCAUGUUGCUGCUGCCACCACCAGACUCCAUCAUGGACGCAAGACAGCGAUACUCAGCACUGGAUGCCCACUUCACCCACUGCAGCCAGACUCCUGUGGCACUGCAGGACAGAAAUGAUCAUGGCAACAUCCCUCUGUUGUCACCACAGCAGCUUCUGGACUCUUCUGCUGCCACCGCCACAGUGAGUAUGCAGCAAGGGAUCUCCCAAACUGCAGCUGGAUGCCAACACCUCAGCUGUUGCCACCCCCAUGCCAACUCUCAACUCCGGACCUCCCUCGCCUGAUGCCCUAUGCCUGAAGCAGCUACAUGUUGCUGCUGCUGCCACCAGAUGCUACCACUCCAUGAGGCCUCUUCAGUGAUUCCAUCCCAAAGAUGCUGCUGUGCUGCCCAAGACCACAGAAGCUGGGAAGUUGGGCAGUCUCCAUCCCAGUCGCCUCAUCAGAGCCCACCGCUUGCCGCCUGCCUUUCCUCCCCCAGGACCACCCACCAGUCCUUCUGGGCCCUUGAGCAGGAGUUGUGCUGACUCAGGGAACUCAUCCAAGGAAAACAACUGACCAUCAGGAAGAAGGAAACACCAGAGAAGCUUGAGGAUCAGAAGGACACUAGCCCUGCUCUGGUCACCCUGGAAGCUAGCUAGCCUGCACACACCAAAGCUUGAGGAAACAGCAGCCCUGCUUCAGCCACUUGAGGGCUGGCUGAUCAAUGCAAGGAGGAAAAUAAACUAGGCAACAGGACAAAUGGACUGUUUCAUCCUGUAAGAGGGCUCUCAUACUAUGGUGCAUUGCCACCCCUUACUUCUGUCAUAUACACAGUCCUUUCCUUGGUCUUUACUACAGGACUGACAACAACCAAACACACAGCUAACCCAUAAUGGGGGGCGGGGCAAGGGAAGAUGGGAGGGACUUUGGAUUGGGCAGAGGGGAGUGUGGGAGGGGAGGGGAUAUGGGAGUGGGAAGGAUGGUGGAAUGAGGUGGAUUGUAUUAAUCUAUGUACAUGUAUGAUUGCAGGAAUGGGGUGACUGUGCACUGUGUCUAACCAGAGAAAUGAAAAGUUGCCUCCAUUUGUGUUUAAUAGUCAAAAUGCAUUCUGCUGUUAUAUAUAACUAAUUGAAAAAAAUUCAUAAAGGACUAAGGCUUAAAAGGAAGUCUGGACACUUUAAUGGUCAUAAAAAUAUGUAUACUUUUCUUAUAUAAAAUUUAAACUUAUUAAUUAAAUUGAAAAAAAAACAACAACUAGCACAUGUACUAGUUCAAACCUGAAAGGGCAUUAAGGCUUGGGAACCAAGCUCACUCUUUGGAGGAUGGUUUUUCUAUUCUUGUUGGAUUCAAAAGUUUAAUUGACAUAGUAUGGAGUAUGCUAUUGUUUAUUGCUUUCAUGUUUGUCUCCCUUUUACAAUGAAACAUUGGGUCAACUACAGAAGCAGCUAUUGGGGUGGGGAGGGAGUAACAGAGAGAGAAAUUAAGAUUACGGCAUUAUAUAAAAUGUUAAGCCUAGAAGAUAAUGAUGUUUUUUGAUUUAAAGGGUUAAAUAAUGAGCAUAGAGGGGGUAACGAUGUACCACAAAUACUCCAAAUGAUGUAGUGUCCAAAAGAUCCCCACCUUAAUUGUAAUAUAUAUGCCUUUCUCCUAGUAAACAAGAUAUUUUUAAAAAGUCAACAGAAUUUCUAGAGAGCUCAUUGUGGUUUAGCUCCUCUUUAUUGUAAAGGUCAUGUUUCUCUUUCUUGUAAAAGUUAGGUCUGCAGGGCUGGGGUUGUAGCUCAGUGGUAGAACACUUACCUAGCAGGUGUGAGGCACUGGGUUUGAUUCUUACACCACAUAAAAAUAAAAUAAGGUAUUGUGCCCAUCUACAACUAAAAAAAAAAAAGUUAUGUCUGCAAUCAAGCUUGUUGAUGUACAAAAGUUACUCUUUCUCUUUUCUUAGUAAAAUCUUGUGAAACCUCUGUCCAAUCUAAAAACAUGGAAUAAAAAGUAACUAUUAUGUUAACCAUUGUGUUGUGUAACCAUUCACUGAGUACAAGAACUGAGAUGAGGCCCAGCUCUGCGCUCUCAGUAUCUGUGUUGUGAGUGUGAACAGGUGGUCGGCUUUGCCUCCUGGGUAGAUGUGCAGCAGAGACUAUCUCCAACAGUCUGCAGCUGAGUCCCAGUGGGCUCUGGGGAGGAGCUCCCCAGUGAGAGCAGCUCAGACUUGUACACUCUCCACUGCCAUUUGUCUUUCUGAGCAUUUGAAAGCUGUGGUUUCCGGUGACUUGUGAUUUCUGGUAACGUUUUGAGAAGUGCUAAGCUAGAGAAACAUACCCCCAUAAUGUGGACCAGAGCCAGGGGAAACAAGAGGCAGGUAGGCUGUGUCGCACCUCAGGACCCAUAGUAGACUCUCAGUGAAAGGAUGUCCCCAUGAUGCUCCUUGUUCUACAAGCUCUAGGCAUUGGACUCUGCCUUCUGUGGAGGAGCCUCUCCUUGCCCCUUGGUUUAGGCAUUGACAGCUGUCCUCCCUGUUGCUGGAGGCACCUGGGAUUUUAAGCAACGUGACAGCAAGUGACCUGCGAAUGGGAGUAAAGUUUGGAAAUACUGAGUUACCCCGCUACAGGGAGAUACUUCUUCAAAUUUGACCAAUCAAAUGACAAUUGUGCAAUUGAGCAUAGUGCCCUCACUUCCUGGAGCAUCAUGAGCCCGAUAGAAGGUGGGAUCUAGAAAAUUCUGUGUGAGAGUUGCGCUGAGAGUGCAAGGUACCAGGGUGCAGGAAACAGAAAGCAGAAGAGCUGGAAGGAUCUACGGGCAACUACCCUGUGGAGAGCACAUAGACGGGCUCCGUAGGUUUCCCUCUCCACUUUGCCUGGGGAAGAAAGUUUCUGAGGCAGGGUGCUCUCUUUUCUGGCUGGGUUUUUCUGGCACCUGCAUUCACCUGCUAUGCAAGGGCCAGUGCAUGCACUGGGUGCACUGGUGUUUGCAAGGGGUCUUGUUUCAGGGGGCAAUGCACUGGAAAGUGAGGCCUGCUCUUUAGCCACAUUUUCCAGCCUUAGUUUUCUACUCUACUCCCACCCCUAGGUCUAGGCAUCUGGCUCUGGGGCGGGGUGGGGCACCAGCAGCACAACUCCACCUCUCUCUGGAAGACCCUCACCCCAACCCCGGUCUCCAGACUGAAUGGUGUCUCUCUUUUCUGGGAAACUUGGCUCCUUUGCUGGAGUGUUCAUAUCACCUUCUCCCAAACCUUAACAGGCCAUUGGAGACUGUCACCUUGAACUCUGGACCACAGGGUAUGGUGUGCCAGAAGGACUUUGGUCCCUGCUUGGACAGGGGAGACCUUAAACAGCUUUGAGACAGGGAGCUUGGGGUCUGUGGUUUAGGAGACGGGGUUAGAGAGGCACUAGCCGAGUGUGCAGGUCAGGCUCGUGUGGUCUCCAGGGCACCUCGGGUGCCCCAUCCUCCCGGAGAUCUGAACUUGAGUGGAGUUGAGGAAAUGUGGGGGUGUCACUGAAGAACUGCAGUCUAGGUCCAGAAAGAAAAAGCAACCACAGUAGUUCCCUGCUCAAAGUUCAUAAACUAGAAGAGGAGAAAGAUGACCACAUUGUCCUCCCAGAUGCCAUCGAACGUGGCACUGGUAAGCAAGGAGGGGCCAGGAAUGUUCCUUAGUCUCUCCUGUCAGUUGGGUGCCACUUUUGUGCAGUUCUACCAGACUUCACACCUCACAGAAUUCUCCCACCGUCAAGGGAAUAAAGGAAUUUAGAGGAAACAACUAACUUGUGAACCCAGACCCAAGGGUUCAUGGAGGCCAUUGAGUUUAAGGUACUAGGGACUUGGUGGAGUCCAGUCUCCAGCUUAUUUUUUUUAAAGGAUUGUGUCCCAGAUAUAUGCCUGAAGACUGAUUUUGGAUGGUGAAAAUUGUACCUAGUCAUGAGUGUUGGACUGAGAUGGCCAAGGACCCAGCCCAGCCCACAAGUUCCCCUAAAGGAGCCUCUUCUACAGCUGCCACUAGUUUCGAGUUCCCCAGUGGUAUGAGAAGGCUCCUUAGGCACGUUGGGGGUGGGGAGGCAGGUGUGAUUGACUGCUGCUCCUUUUGCUUAUUGUGGAUGAACCAGAAGUGUCCCUAAUAGCAGGGCCAGAUGCAGAGGGUGUUGGAAUGGGGGCUGGGAGGAAAGGUGACAGCAGUCUACUUCCAGAGACUACAGUAUGAAAUGAGGGACCAUAUUCCUCCUGGAAGGGCAUGAACCUAAGAUGGAGAAAUUCAAAUGCGUCACUGAGCAGAAGUGAAACUGACUCUCUUGCCCUUCUUGAAAUAGAGAUGGAGGAUCUUUUCUGUCUGGUCGACAGGAAGGUGACUGAUAUUUCAGCUGCCCCUGUUGUGUAAGAAAUACGAAGAAAUGAGGUAAAGGACCCCAAUUGUGCCCUAAUACUGUGAAGAAAGCUCAGCAUGGCAGGAAUAGACACGUUUCUCUGCUUUUUUGGAUAAUGAUGUCCCAUUAAAACAGUAUUUCUUAUAAACUUAAACUGCAACAGUUUUGCUUACUUGGCUUCUUCAUUGUUCCUCUACCAGGAGUCAAGACUUCUCCUGUAGCCUCACUGUUUUGGGAGCUGUCAGAGUUCUGUUCCAAUGCUUUCUUGGAGGGGCCCAGGCCUAGGGGACCCAUCUGAAUGAAUGCCCAGGUCCCAGGAUGUCUUAGGACACAGCUCUGAUUUUCCAGGCCCCUCAGAGGGCAGGCGGCUACUUUGUUAUAGACUCAGAACCAGCAGCCUGCACAGGCCCAGGGUGGAGCCCUGUAAUCCUUCUGCCCAAGAGAAGCUUGCUAAUGAAAGUCUGAUGCAAUCCUUUAGGAAAUCAUUUGAUAAUACGUCUCCAAUUGUUAGUAUUUCAUCAGCUGCUCCAGUAAUUCAAACUCCAUCAACCACUCACAGUGUGUGUAUAUACACUUUGUAUACUUAAUUUAAUUCCGAAUGUACAAGAUCAGGUAAAACCUCUUGUUUUAGCUUGAGCCUUGAUUUCUACAUGUCCAGACUGUUUCUUCCCUUAUAUGAUUUUUUUUUUCUGAGCCAGGGUUUCAGUUCUUAUUUUCUGCACUCUGGUUUCAUUUCUUUCGGUCUGCUGUGGCCUUCCAACCUGUGUCCAAGCGGUUGUUUCUUUAUGUGUGAACCACAUCUGUACAUAGAAUUGAAGUACUUAGCCAGGGGACUCUUGGGCUCCAUGAAAAUUCGAUGAGGUCAUUUGAAUACCCGAGUCUCAAUCUAACAGUGCCGAGGUCUUAGAAUUAUUAAAAUAAACAUUGGAAAGCAACUUCAAUUCUCAGGUAUACAGGAAUAAUUACAUAACAGUACGUUUAUACUACCUAUAAAAUUAUACAGCAGUUUGUAAGAUUUUAUAAACACAGGUAAUCAUUAUUUUCCAAAAGUGAUUAUAUAAGAUAGGAAGAUUCAAAACUUUCUAUUUUAGUUUCUGCAAGUGUGACAGACCUUGGUAAACUCUGCCACUGAAAGCUACCAUGUUGGGUAUGAUGUUAGAGGAUAGAAAACUAGGAUCGAUCCCCAACUGAUUUUAUAAAGAAACCAUAAAAGUUGAUGUGAACAAAAUCUAGCAAUGAUGUGAAAGUAGAACAUGAAAAAGCAAGGAAUAUCAUAAAAACAAAUUAUUAACAAACUGAAUUUAUUAUUUCAAAAUGAGGAUAGAGCCAGCAGGAUGUUACAAACCUGUAGUCCCAGCUCCUAGGGAGGCUGAGACCAAAUGGUUGCUUGUUGCAAGAAAGGCAAGGCCCGUCAGGGCAACCUAGUGAGGCCUCAUCUCGAAAAAACAAAAUGGAAAAAUAAAAACAAAAGAAAACAGAAAAAAGAAUGAAAGAAAAGAACAAUGAGAGGGCUCAUGUCAGCAAAGUGGAGACUAGGAAGCUUCCUCCUUGUGGAAACAUCCAAAGCAACAGAAACUGACUGAAGUAAAAGUCAGAGGUUUACAGCAACCACGCAGAUGCCCAAUCAAGAAGCAGCCACAUUCAAACCUGCAGAGAAGAUCCUGAUGUUUUUUCUUGCCCCUGCCCUUCCUCUCCCUGGCAUGGCAAAGUCUCAGGCUGCAGGGGGCAGCAGCACUGUUUGCAGUCCCUUCCCUUGAAGUGCAGGGCCAGAGCAAACCUGAUUGGCAGGGUUCUAACCUGCCUGGGCACUGGCUGAAGGAUAGGUCUCUGGACCACCUAACUUGGAUCUCAUUUCAUGGGGAAGUGUGCCUUCCACUGCAUGUGAAGGUUGUAGGGAGACCACAUACCGGUGGAUGCCUGGGGCAAGAGAUUACAGCUGCAGAUGAGCAAUCCAAGGCCCAUGAGAGGAGCAGAGGGUGGUGAAGAUUUGGGGGGUGAUCAAGACAUUCAAAAGCAUUUGGUGCUGAUAACGCCAAGGUCGCGGGUUCCUUCCCCGUACGGGCCACCAAAUGCCGCAGUCUGGCUGGGCACAAUCAGGAGCCACUUGUCAAAAGAAACUAACUUUAUUUUUAGAACCACACACGCCAAACAAAAUAGUCUCUCAGGAAAAACCCUCAGAGCCUCAACUGCCACCACCGGCUUUCCACAAGCCUCUCUCUCCCACACAAGCUUCUUUCCACCUCCCACAAUCCUCCUGCUCUUGAGGCCGAUUGGCUGGGUCACGUGGGCGGAACCAAAAAAGUCCCCCAAUGAGCAGCUCCGUGGUCUGAAAGGGCAGGGAAACAGUCCAAUGAGCAUCACCGCAGAGGAGCCAAUCAGCUAGAUGUUGCUGGGGCUGCUGUGAGCCAAUCGUCAGCCGGCAGCUGGAAGUUUGCUGGCAGCUGGAAGUUUGUUAGAGUCUGUAAACAAGUCAAAAUAACACCUGGCAUUUAGCCAGGGGAAUGUUAGAGUUGGUAAACAAGUCUGGAUGGUGCCUGGCAAAAUGCCAGAGGGAGUGGUUUGAGAAGUAACAAAAGCGAGCCAUUAAGUGUGGAGAUUCCUUAUUGGUUGACUGAUGUAUCUAGUUUAUGCUAAUUAGAUAAGCUGUGUGGAAUGUAUAAAUACUGCUCCUGUCCUGCAGUAAAGGGCUCCCUCUCCUGCUGUAUCAACGUGCACAAGUUGUUUGUCACCCCCCGGUUAUUUUGCUGCAGCCAGCCGGCCUUCUACAGAUGGUGGCCUGUUACGGGAGCCCCGGGACACUCGGGGUUGAAUGCUACAGGAUUUUCUUUAGCCAUCCGGAGUUCCUGCCUUCGUCCCAGUGCCGGUAAAGACCAAGGUGGAAGAAUUUUCAGUGUUGCUGAAAACCAGACGAGAUUUCAGCUGAGAACCGGACGAGACUUCGGAUCAAGCUAGCUGCCUGCAGAACUUACCUGGACUGUGAUUUAAGCUAGCUGCCUGCAGAACUUACCUGUGAUUUACCUGGACUGUGAGUUAAUCUAUUGAGACACUACUUUACCUGGACUGAGACAACAAACUGUAAUCUAUAACAAAUUAUAACUCGGUAUCUUUGCUAACAGUGUCAUUGACAGUAGAAUGCAAUUUGAUGUAUAAUACAUACAUGGAAUGCACAUACAUCAA